rnacentral:snRNA from 1 species
GUGCUCACUUCUCAGCACAUAUACUAAAAUUGGAACCACACAAAGAAGAUUAGCGUGGCCCCUGCACAAGGAUGACAUGCAAAUUUGUGAGGCAUUCUGUAUUUUU